rnacentral:rRNA from 1 species
AAUAUUGCACAAUGGACGAAAGUCUGCUGCAGCAACGCCGCGUGAGGGAUGACGGCCUUCGGGUUGUAAACCUCUUUUAGUAAGGAAGAAGCCUUCGGGUGACGGUACCUGCAGAAGAAGCGCCGGCUAACGACGUGCCAGCAGCCGCAGUAAUACGUAGGGCGCAAGCGUUGUCCGGAAUAAAUGGGCGUAAAGAGCUCGUAGGCGGUCAGUCGCGUCUGCUGUGAAAACCCGAGGCUCAACCUCGGGCCUGCAGUGGGUACGGGCUGACUAGAGUGCGGUAGGGGAGACUGGAAUUCCUGGUGUAGCGGUGGAAUGCGCAGAUAUCAGGAGGAACACCGAUGGCGAAGGCAGGUCUCUGGGCAGCAACUGACGAUGAGGAGCGAAAGCAUGGGGAACGAACAG